UACGUAGGGUGCAAGCGUUGUCCGGAUUUAUUGGGCGUAAAGAGCUCGUAGGCGGCUCGUUGCGUCAGCUGUGAAAACCCACGGCUUAACUGUGGGCUUGCAGCUGAUACGGGCGAGCUGGAGUUCGGUAGGGGAGACUGGAAUUCCUAGUGUAGCGGUGAAAUGCGCAGAUAUCAGGAAGAACACCCGUGGCGAAAGCGGCUCUCUGGAACGGUACUGACGCUGAGACGCGAAAGCGUGGGGAGCGAACAGG
rnacentral:rRNA from 1 species